GAUGAACGCUGGCGGCGUGCUUAACACAUGCAAGUCGAACGAUGAAGCCCAGCUUGCUGGGUGGAUUAGUGGCGAACGGGUGAGUAACACGUGAGUAACCUGCCCUUAACUCUGGGAUAAGCCUGGGAAACUGGGUCUAAUACCGGAUAGGAGCGUCCACCGCAUGGUGGGUGUUGGAAAGAUUUAUCGGUUUUGGAUGGACUCGCGGCCUAUCAGCUUGUUGGUGAGGUAAUGGCUCACCAAGGCGACGACGGGUAGCCGGCCUGAGAGGGUGACCGGCCACACUGGGACUGAGACACGGACCAGAAUCCUACGGGAGGCAGCAGUGGGGAAUAUUGCACAAUGGGCGCAAGCCUGAUGCAGCGACGCCGCGUGAGGGAUGACGGCCUUCGGGUUGUAAACCUCUUUCAGUAGGGAAGAAGCGAAAGUGACGGUACCUGCAGAAGAAGCACCGGCUAACUACGUG
rnacentral:rRNA from 1 species